rnacentral:tRNA from 1 species
GACAGUCUGGCCGAAUGAUCUAAGGCGCUGGCAUAAGCCGCCAAUCCGAAGGGCGUGGGUUCGAACCCCACAGCUGUUA